UCCACCUGGGGCAAGUCCUUUCCCCUUACCUGGAGUGGGCAUGCCAUCCUUUUCUGAGCUCAGACCAUUGGUCUUGGACAUGUCAUUGUGAAACCCCUCUGGCUUAUCUGCCUUGGUACAGAACAAUUUCACUAACGUGUUUUCAACACGAUUAAAUGAAAUUGAAGACUUGGAUGAUGCUGAUACUUCAAGUGAUGAGGAUAAGCCAGAAGACCCUCUGCAAAGCUGUAGGCCAAGAGCUCCUGAGCCAUCAACCUCAGAAAGUCCAAAUGCCUCAAAUCCACAUGGAGGAACCCUUAAUUGGGGUUGACAGAGUGAGGGGCUGGGGGAUUGACUUCCUACUGACAGGCCCUUACAAUCCCACCUAAGCUCAGAUACCCACACCCAUGGCUAA